rnacentral:rRNA from 1 species
GAUGAACGCUAGCGGCAGGCUUAAUACAUGCAAGUCGUGGGGCAGCAUGAGUAGCAAUACUUGAUGGCGACCGGCAAACGGGUGAGGAACACGUACACAACCUUCCUUCAAGCGGGGAAUAGCCCAGAGAAAUUUGGAUUAAUACCCCAUAAUAUAUUUGAUAAGGCAUCUUAUUAAUAUUAAAGCUUCGGCACUUGAUGAUGGGUGUGCGGCUGAUUAGAUAGUUGGCGGGUAACGGCCCACCAAGUCUACGAUCAGUAGCUGAUGUGAGAGCAUGAUCAGCCACACGGGCACUGAGACACGGGCCCGACUCCUACGGGAGGCAGCAGUAAGGAAUAUUGGGACAAUGGACGAAAGUCUGAUCCAGCCAUGCCGCGUGAAGGAUUAAGGUCCUCUGGAUUGUAAACUUCUUUAUAUGGGACGAAAAAGGGCAUUCUUGUUCACUUGACGGUACCAUAUGAAUAAGCACCGGCUAACUCCGUGCCAGCA